UACGAAGGGGGCUAGCGUUGCUCGGAAUCACUGGGCGUAAAGCGCACGUAGGCGGCUUUUUAAGUCAGGGGUGAAAUCCUGGAGCUCAACUCCAGAACUGCCUUUGAUACUGAGAAGCUUGAGUCCGGGAGAGGUGAGUGGAACUGCGAGUGUAGAGGUGAAAUUCGUAGAUAUUCGCAAGAACACCAGUGGCGAAGGCGGCUCACUGGACCGGUACUGACGCUGAAGCGCGAAAGCGUGGGGAGCAAACGGGG
rnacentral:rRNA from 1 species